GUGAAAUAUAGACAUGAUGUUCUCAGAGAGGAGGGACUCAGAGUUCACAGAUCUGACAUGAUCUAAUCGAGUCUGAAAGAGACUGUGGAUGAAACGAUUCAGUCUGACUCUUCUCAGAGUGAACACUUGAACAAUGAAUCUUCAUUCACUUAUUCUGCUCUGUGUCUCAGCAGCUGCUGUCUUUGGAAAUACCAUCAAACCAGACACAACAGAUGUUGGUGCUGAUGAGGGUCAAAAUGUUAAGUUGUCCUGUAGUUAUUCCUCUCCUGGAGGUUCAGAUGCUCUCUUCUGGUACCGUCAGUAUGGAAGAUCAAAACCUGAAUUUCUUGUUUCCACCUUAAGUACUGAAAAAAAGCCUCAUGUAUCUGAUGUAGAUCCAAGAUUCUCUGCUGAAGUUGAAAAAAAGGAACAAAUCCACAUGGAUCUGAUUAUCUCCUCUGCUGCAGUAUCAGACUCUGCUCUGUAUUACUGUGCUCUGAGGCCCACAGUCACAGGAAACACUGUAACUCUGUACAAAAACCCUUCUGUAUUUAAUCCAAUGAGAACAAGCAGACACAGAGACAAAGACUACAAGAGAAUCUUAUCAGAAGAGGAGGAACUCCAGAUCUGA